AGAAAGAUGCAACUGUAUUAAUUAAUGUAUUGUAUUAAAUCACAGUUUAAAUGCGUUGGCACCCGGAGUGAAGAUCAGCAGCACGUUUGAAUGAUACAUGUCAUAUUAGCACUUUUGUUAUUUCUGCCUGAAUUGGAACUCUUCUGCAGAGCUAGAGCAAACAUGGAGCAAAUAUAAUUCAUACUGCAAACGUGAAUACAUGCAGUGUUAGAGGGGGAAAGAAUGCACUUCUCCUGGUGUUUAGAAUAAUCUUCAGUUUGUCAGAGGUUUUAUAGGAAGUUCACAAGAGACAGUUGCAAGCAGAACCAGCUUGGCAGGGGAGGCAGGCCUCCCUGAGAUAGCCCUGUGGGGAUCCUGGUGAAAAUGAGCUCAGAUUUGACCAAGUGAGGAGUCUUUGAGAACAGCAUUUUCCACACAUGUGGCAAUGUGGUUUUUUCAUAUUAUCUAACAAAAGCAUUCAGAGUGAAUAUAAGCUGCUCUCUGCAUGCACAAGCAGCUAACUGGCAGGCAGGCCGAGCAUUCACACCUUCUGAGUUAAACCCUGCCAGCACAAUCAACCUCGUCUGCAAAUUGUUCUACAUUGUCUGUUGGGAAGAAGACAACACUAGGAGAUCCAGUGUGGUGGGCUUAGAAAGGAAGGAAGGAUACUGCAUCAUCGUGGACACUGCUUGUCCACUUCUUGAAAAUGCCAGACUAAGAAUGCAGCAUAAUACAAACAUAUAA
ensembl:lncRNA